rnacentral:rRNA from 1 species
UCAGUACGGUCGGAAAUCGUACGUAGAGUGUAAAGGCAAAAGAGAGCUUGAUUGCAAGACAUACAGGUCGAGCAAGGAUGAAAAUCGGACUUAGUGAUCCGGUGGUUCUGCGUGGAAGGGCCAUCGCGCAACGGAUAAAAGCUACCCUGGGGAUAACAGGCUUAUCUCCCCCAAGAGUCCACAUCGACGGGGAGGUUUGGCACCUCGAUGUCGGCUCAUCCCAUCCUGGGGCUGUAGUAGGUCCCCAGGGUUGGG